UAGGGAAUAUUAGAAAUGGACGAAAGUCUGACCUAGCAACACCGCGUGUGCGAAGAAGGCCUUCGGGUCGUAAAGCACUUUUUGGAAGGAAUAGGAAGGAAUGUACUUCCAGAAUAAGUCUCGGCUAACUACGUGCCAGCAGCCGCGGUAACACGUAGGAGGCAAACGUUAUCCGGAUUUACUGGGCGUAAAGCGCGUGUAGGUGGUACUGUAAGUAGGGCGUGAAAGCUCCUGGCUCAACUGGGAGAGGCCGUUCUAAACUACAGAACUAGAGGAUGGUAGAGGUAGGUGGAAUUCCAGGUGUAGCGGUGGAAUGCGCAGAUAUCUGGAGGAACACCAGUGGCGAAGGCGGCCUCCUGGACCAGUCCUGACACUCAGACGCGAAAGCUAGGGUAGCAAACU
rnacentral:rRNA from 1 species